GCUCUGUCGUAGCUGUGGAAUGUGAUGCAGGUGACCCGUCUAAAAGUCAAUUCAGUUACCUUCACUGCAAAGCAACAAGGAAAAGAUGGACCCCAAACUAGAUAAGCUUCAGGUACCUAUAAACCUGGAUCUGCUCUGUAAGCAACUUCUUCAAGAAAUGAGGUCUCUGGAAAUGGAACAGAUAGUCCUGUACUAUCAGAUGGCUGGUCUUGAACUCCCAGGCUCAAGCAAUCCUC